UGCUUGUUCUUUUCUUGUUGUUCUUCUUUCUUCUUCUUUCUACUUCUUCUCUGUUCUUCUUUUCUUCUUCUCUUUACCAAAUGAGAGAGUUGAGAGACAGUGAGAGUGAGAUCGUGGGACUGAGAGAGAGUGGAGAGACAGAGAGAUGAGACCGAGAGAGAGAUGCCGUGAGGAAGACCUGACCUCCGUGAGGUUAGGUUUUCCGACCAACCAUGGUGAGUCUCAGGGGACGCCGGCGGAGCUGGAGGACGCGAUUUUCGGCGUGGCAGAGUGAUUUCCGGCGGAACCCAGACCCAAUUUCUGGCGAACUCGUGCGUUGAAACCCAUCUAACCCGUGAGACCCGAGAACCCGUUGGACCAGAUCCUCCAUGAUCGGCGGCCGGGGCUGAAAUCCGGCUGUCCCUUUAGCAGUUUCCGGCGAGUCAUGACCCGUGUGUGUGUGAAACUCGUGCAACCCGAAACACGUGACCCAUGACCCGCUGAACCCAUGUGGAGACCCGGUUCUCCAUGUGUGUUUUCCGGCAACAUUUCCGGCGACUGCCAGUGGCGUUUUCCGGCGGAUUUAUUGAGGAAAAUCCCCAAGGAUCGUGUUCGAAUUGGAGACUUUAAUUGGUUCUCCAAUGUAGAGUCCAAGUGACUAGAGUUCAAGGGAGUGUUCGAGUUGGAGUCCAAUGCAGCCAAGAUGAUAUUCCUGUGAUUGCAGGUACUCUUGAGGCGGAUGAUGAUCCGGUAGCUCACUACUUGGGAUACUACGAUUGAAGCCCAUAGCGACAGUCGUAGUGGGAUGGGACUGAGGUGUCCUCAUUUUGGGUACUUUUGUAUAUGGCUUGUGACGUGUGUGUCACAUUAUUUUGUAUAAGCCAUUCUUUUGUAUUAGUAAUAUGUAGUUAAACUUUAAACAGAUAGAUUUGUGUUAUGGCUCACUUAUGUAUAGAUAACAGGUUCAUUUAUAGUUAUGCUUUUCCGCUAUGUGUAUUGGUAUCAUGAUUUAUUCCGCUGUAGAUGUAACUCUGUAUAUCAGGUACAUGUUAUGGGACAUGUCUAUGUUGGCUGAGCGACACUUAGUCGUGCCACUGCGAUGACUCGUUUAUGUUUGUAAAAAAAAAAAAAAAACGGGUCGUCACAUUUACCCACAAAGAACAUUAAAUGAAGGCUAGCUUUAAGUCGUUUGAGAGUUGGA